ensembl:misc_RNA Metazoa_SRP Metazoan signal recognition particle RNA
GCCAGGCGUGGUGGCGUGUGCCUGUAAUCCCAGCUACUCAGGAGGCUGAGGCAGGAGAAUCGCUUGAACCCAGGAGUCGGAGGUUGCAGUGAGCCAAGAUUGUGCCACUGCACUCCAGCCUGGGUGACAGAGUGAGACUCCGUCUCAA